GUAGGUGAACCUGCGGAAGGAUCAUUAAAGAAUGUCCUGUUUUUCGAAAUGGGUUCUAUUCCCAAACCGUGUAUACAUACCUUUGUUGCUUUGGCAGGCCGCCUUCGGGCGUCGGCUCACGCUGACCGCGCCUGCCAGAGGACCCAAACUCUUUUGUUUAGUGAUGUCUGAGUACUAUAUAAUAGUUAAAACUUUCAACAACGGAUCUCUUGGUUCUG
rnacentral:misc_RNA from 1 species